rnacentral:piRNA from 1 species
UCCCUACUCCUGACAUCAGAUGGGUCCUU